rnacentral:rRNA from 1 species
GAUGAGCGCUGGCGGCGUGCCUAAUACAUGCAAGUCGAGCGAACGGACGAGAAGAUUGCUUCUCUGAUGUUAGCGGCGGACGGGUGAGUAACACGUGGAUAACCUACCUAUAAGACUGGGAUAACUUCGGGAAACCGGAGCUAAUACCGGAUAAUAUUUUGAACCGCAUGGUUCAAAAGUGAAAGACGGUCUUGCUGUCACUUAUAGAUGGAUCCGCGCUGCAUUAGCUAGUUGGUAAGGUAACGGCUUACCAAGGCAACGAUGCAUAGCCGACCUGAGAGGGUGAUCGGCCACACUGGAACUGAGACACGGUCCAGACUCCUACGGGAGGCAGCAGUAGGGAAUCUUCCGCAAUGGGCGAAAGCCUGACGGAGCAACGCCGCGUGAGUGAUGAAGGUCUUCGGAUCGUAAAACUCUGUUAUUAGGGAAGAACAUAUGUGUAAGUAACUGUGCACAUCUUGACGGUACCUAAUCAGAAAGCCACGGCUAACUACGUG